UACGGGGGGAGCAAGCGUUGUUCGGAUUUACUGGGCGUAAAGGGCGCGUAGGCGGUCAGCACAAGUCAAUUGUGAAAUCUCCGAGCUUAACUCGGAAAGGUCAACUGAAACUGUGCGACUAGAGUGCGGAAGGGGCAACUGGAAUUCUUGGUGUAGCGGUGAAAUGCGUAGAUAUCAAGAGGAACACCUGCGGCGAAGGCGGGUUGCUGGGCCGACACUGACGCUGAAGCGCGAAAGCGUGGGGAGCAACAGG
rnacentral:rRNA from 1 species